CUCCAGACUCCUACGGAGGCAGCAGUGGGGGAUAUUGCACAAUGGGGGGAACCCUGAUGCAGCGACGCCGCGUGGGUGAAGGAGCGUUUCGGCGCGUAAAGCCCUGUCAGCAGGGAAGAAAAUGACGGUACCUGAAGAAGAAGCCCCGGCUAACUACGUGCCAGCAGCCGCGGUAAUACGUAGGGGGCAAGCGUUAUCCGGAUUUACUGGGUGUAAAGGGGGCGCAGACGGCGAUGCAAGCCAGGAGUGAAAGCCCGGGGCCCAACCCCGGGACUGCUCUUGGAACUGCGUGGCUGGAGUGCAGGAGGGGCAGGCGGAAUUCCUGGUGUAGCGGUGAAAUGCGUAGAUAUCAGGAGGAACACCGGUGGCGAAGGCGGCCUGCUGGACUGCAACUGACGUUGAGGCCCGAAAGCGUGGGGAGCAAACAGGAUUAGAUACCCUUGUA
rnacentral:rRNA from 1 species